UGGGGAAUAUUGCACAAUGGGGGAAACCCUGAUGCAGCGACGCAGCGUGCGGGAUGACGGCCUUCGGGUUGUAAACCGCUUUCAGCAGGGAAGAAGCCCUUCGGGGUGACGGUACCUGCAGAAGAAGUACCGGCUAACUACGUGCCAGCAGCCGCGGUAAUACGUAGGGACCAAGCGUUGUUCGGAUUUACUGGGCGUAAAGGGCGCGUAGGCGGCGUGGUAAGUCAGCUGUGAAAUCUCCGAGCUUAACUCGGAACGGUCAGCUGAUACUGCUGUGCUAGAGUACAGAAGGGGCAAUCGGAAUUCUUGGUGUAGCGGCGAAAUGCGUAGAUAUCAAGAGGAACACCUGAGGUGAAGACGGGUUGCUGGGCUGAUACUGACGCUGAGGCGCGAAAGCUAGGGUAGCAAA
rnacentral:rRNA from 1 species